UCCAAAACAAAAAGAUUUGUUUGCCAUUUGCAAUUUUUCUUUGUACAAUCUGAUGAUACUCUAGAGCUCUUAUACUCCUCUAAGAUAUUUUCUAUCCUCAUUAUCUUCUAGUUCAGCUCAGUGUUCUGGCCAACUGUCAGAUGGCUGUGAAUGCUGCUGCUAAUGAACUGUAAACUAUCCAGGGAAUAAAAUGUUGGCCUCACAUUUAGUGUGCAGGUUUGUAGAUUUUAUAUAUGGGAUAAGAAAUGGCAUUAUACUUUUUUUUUUUUUCUUUUACAGGUGUUAACACUUAAACACAUUAUCUGUAACACACCAGAGACAAUCACUUAUUUGGCAUGAUGUGUUUCAGUCAAAGAAGGAAGAAGAGAUCAUAAUUCACAACAGGACAGCUGGAAGGACUGCUGAGCCCACUUCCAUUCUCGUGGACACAGUGGCCUGGAAAAAGAACAGAGGAGCUGAGUUUCCUGACAUGACCAAUAUUUUUUUCUCACAAAAUCAAACACAAACAAGGAGAAAAUAGGUAGGGUAGUACCAAAUAAUAAUAAUAAUAAUAAAACAAAUGUCUCUAUGUUCCUUUUGUUUAUA
rnacentral:lncRNA from 1 species